rnacentral:lncRNA from 1 species
UGUGUCCUCAUGGUUACCAGUUAGGUUCGUAAGCCACAAUGGCACGCCAUAAGGCAGCUCCUGAACUCAUCUGCCACCCUCCCGUGUUCGUCUCUCAAGUCCCGCGACAUUAUCAUUUUUGUCGGUCCCUGCAAAGGCCUUUGAAUUGGUUGCCCUUCGUCCCCUCUCCCUCCAUUCUGCUCUUGGCGUUGGACCCAGAGUAAUCUUUAAAAAGCCUUGUCAUACCAUUUCGUUUCCCUUGCUCAAACCUGUCAGUGACCUCUUCCUGCACAGGGAUGUGCCCAGAAGGGCCCAUGGGGUUGAGGGCAGGUGGCUGGCAGCCCCUGGCUGGAGAUCCCACAGCGCUGUUGCCGGCCCGGCAGAGGAGGUCGUGAGGCACUUUUCCCCUUUUCUCUUGACGUCCUCGGCCGACCGCGGUGACUCUGAUUUCCAAGUGCAACACGAUAACUGUCAGGCUCGCGGAGGUGCCCUUAGAAUGGAGACAGUGUUCUGGGAAGUGGUACAGAGAGUGACAUGGGCCUCCAAACCCCAGAACAGCAACUCUCAGAACACAGAGAUGGACCGCUGUUUCAUUUUAAGCCUUAAGAAGCAAAUAACCAGUGUGUAAUCGACUAAAAUUCUAAUACCUGGGCUAUUCUCCAAGCACCUCCCCUCCCCAAUAUUUUUUUUUUUUUUUUUGUCUUUUUGUCUGGUUCCCAGGCUAGGGGUCGAAUCAGAGCUGUAGCCACCGGCCUACGCCAGAGCCACAGCAACGCGGGAUCCAAGCCGCGUCUGCAACCUACACCACAGCUCACGGCAACGCCGGAUCAUCAACCCACUGAGCAAGACCAGGGAUCAAACCCACAACCUCAUGGUUCCUAGUCGGAAUCCUUAACCACUGCGCCACGACGGGAACUCCCCCCUCCCCAAUAUUUUGACAUAACAAUGUGCACAUAUUUAGCUCAGGAAAUCAUGAGUAAAACUUGGUUGCAGGCCAGUAGAAGAAAGGAUUGACAUCCUACAGAGGAAAAAAAAGCAAAUGAAAUAUCAGCGCACAGUUUUCCUUUUUACAGAUGUUUCUCCUAUCUUGAUGCCUACGUGCUCUCUUCAUCUUCAUCUUGAGCAUUGCUCGUGUGUGUGUGUGUGUGUGUGUGUGUUGGUGGGUAUGGCCAUGCACACACAAAUAACUCCUGAAAGGGGAUUCUUAGUACAGGGACACCCUCCCUUCUCGGGUCUUCCAUUCGAGGUAACUAAUGGGAAUGCUGAAAUUCCAGCUUUAUUUUUGGCGCACCGUAGCCUCAAAUUAAGACAACUUGUAUGUGGUCUUAUAUUUAGAAUUUUGAAUGAUGCCAGUUCGGUGGCUUGCUCUGAUGAGUCACGGGCACAGUUUGUCAUGGGAAUCACAAGUGAGGGGGUCUUAGUACAGCGCGGUGAGCGCUAUGGUGGAGUUUGUUACCUGGUGUCAUGGGAGCACGGAGAUGAGCCCCUCCUCACCUUGGGGACUGGAAAGUUGUGAAAUGCUUUCAAGAGUAUGUGACCCUUGAGGUGGGUCUUGAAGGAGGAGUUUGCCAGGUGGAAGGGAGAAAAGACGUGGAAUAGGACCUUUCAGAUAGCGGCACAGAUGGGGCCCCCAGAAGUCAGCAAGAGCACGGUGCGCCCAGAGGGCUUGCGAGGAGGACUGUCGUGGCCACUGCAUUUGGAGGCGUGGGCUGGGCUGGGGGCUGACCGGUGGGCAGGGUCAGACCCUGCAGUGGAACCCCCCUGAAGGACUUGAGGAUCCUGGAUCAGGUUUGAUUUUACAGUAGGGAUUCUUUCUCAGGCUUCCCCUGAAUGGCAGUGAUCCGGUUUAGCCACGCAAGACCUUUUUAUCAGUUCCUGCGGGUGUGGGGCUCAACAUCCCACGUUUAAGGUAUGGCUACAGGCUAUCCACUGAUAAUCCCAAGGGCAUCAUCAUAAGUUGCUGAAAUGUUUCUGGUGUUGAAUUACAGUCCGCCCUCUGUAUGCUUGGGUUCUCUGUCCGUAGACUCAGCCAACCACAGAUUGAAAAUAUUUGAAUAAAAGAUUCCAGGAAAAAGAAAUUGCUGUAAGGAAACAUCUGGGUAUGAGUUGAUUCUGGCUAAACCAGCCCAACGAAAUUCUGGCAGCAGGCAGGCCAGGGCGAUUAGACUUCACCUGGGGAAGAGUGGAGACUGAGGAACCGGAUUAGUUAUCUUGGGUGAUCAGAUACGGAGGAGGGGGAGUUAGUGCUCAGAUGACCGAGCAGGAUUCUUGCUAAAACUAAAUCAAGAUGGAAGUCUACAAGUCAAGGGCUAAUUGAAAAGGGGUUCAGAGGAGCCCGAUUAGAGUUUGGUCAAGGAGGGAAUCGUUGUCACAUGGCUUAUGAAAGAAAACGGCUUCUUUGAUCUUUGGUCUCUUGGUCUCAGCCAAGUCUCACUAUCAAAGUGCCACCCACCACCGCCCUUCAGACUUUGUGCAUGUCUUCUCGUGUGCACAUCGCAUUUGUUAUGGUGGAAUCUAAGUCCCUCUUUAUGAUCUAGACGAGGAGCCCGGAAGCUGCGCCACGUGGGCCAGGAUCAGCAGUUGCCUGUUUCUAUACAGUUUGAUUGGAAGG